rnacentral:rRNA from 1 species
GAUGAACGCUAGCGGCAGGCUUAAUACAUGCAAGUCGAGGGGCAGCAUGACUGUAGCAAUACAGUUGAUGGCGACCGGCAAACGGGUGCGGAUCACGUACUGAACCUUCCUUUAAGUGGGGAAUAGCCCAGAGAAAUUUGGAUUAAUACCCCGUAACAUAUAGAAGUGGCAUCGCUUUUAUAUUAUAGCUCCGGCGCUUAAAGAUGGCAGUGCGGCUGAUUAGGUAGUUGGCGGGGUAACGGCCCACCAAGCCGACGAUCAGUAACUGGUGUGCGGACACGAACAAUCACACGGGCACUGAGACAAGGGCGCGACUUCUACGGGAGGCAGCAGUAAGGAAUAUUGGUCAAUGGUCGCAAGUCUGAACCAGCCAUGCCGCGUGGAGGAUGAAGGUCCUCUGGAUUGUAAACUUCUUUUAUCUGGGAAGAAAUUCCCGCAUUCUUGCGGGAUUGACGGUACCAGAUGAAUAAGCACCGGCUAACUCCGUGCCAGCCGCCGCAGUAAAAC